GAUGAACGCUGGCGGCGUGCCUAAUACAUGCAAGUCGAGCGAACGGACGAGAAGCUUGCUUCUCUGAUGUUAGCGGCGGACGGGUGAGUAACACGUGGAUAACCUACCUAUAAGACUGGGAUAACUUCGGGAAACCGGAGCUAAUACCGGUUAAUAUUUUGAACCGCAUGGUUCAAAAGUGAAAGAAGGUCUUGCUGUCACUUAUAGAUGGAUCCGCGCUGCAUUAGCUAGUUGGUAAGGUAACGGCUUAGCAAGGCAACGAUGCAUAGCCGACCUGAGAGGGUGAUCGGCCACACUGGAACUGAGACACGGUCCAGACUCCUACGGGAGGACGCAGUAGGGAAUCUUCCGCAAUGGGCGAAAGCCUGACGGAGCAACGCCGCGUGAGUGAUGAAGGUCUUCGGAUCGUAAAACUCUGUUAUUAGGGAAGAACAUAUGUGUAAGUAACUGUGCACAUCUUGACGGUACCUAAUCAGAAAGCCACGGCUAACUACGUG
rnacentral:rRNA from 1 species